rnacentral:lncRNA from 1 species
CGUUCCUGGAUCAUAAUCACCCCCUUAUAAACAAGGCAUGGACUCCCCAGCGACCCCCAUGGACUUCUCGCCACUUCUCAGUCUGGCGCACUAUAAUGAAUCACGCUAUACAAAAGAUAAAGCCGUUGCCCAUGCUGGCUUGUGGUUGGCACGAUAAAUGUUUCACAACAGUAGCUCGCGAACCGGUCCUUAAUUGCCAUGAGCACGACCUUCAAAACCAUGUGCUCACAACCCACCAUUAAUCAUAUUUUAAAUACCAAUUAAUUAUCAUAACACGAUUAACCAUCGUGAGCUACCAUUAAAUAUAACCAUAAAUAAUAAUGUAGUAUAUAUGAUUCAUCCCAUUAGUGAGCUAAUGUUUCUAAGCAUUGCUAAGCAAUUAUAUAUAUAUAACAUUUAGCUGAACCAAACCAAUACAUAAGGUUCAAGCUAAUCAAUUUAUUACCCAAGGUAUCAAGGAAUAGGAUAUUCAAUGCAAAUUGGCCAUAACAAAGGAAUUGGUUCACACCACCCGGUGACAUUCGAAAAUAAAUGCACAGUUGAAACAAAUAGAGAAUUUAAAUAUAGGAUCAACAUGCUCAAAGGAUUGUGUUUAGGAUCUGUGUGACUUGCCUUGCAAUAAUCGGUCUUCAAUUAAUCUUCUUGAUCACUUCCGACGCACUCACGAACCUUCGCAACGACGGAAACGACAAGCUAACACGCAAAACGAAGAAAAAGACUAAUAAAAACCAAAUAAACAGUACAUAAAAAGUAAACAAACAUGUAAAUCAUAAUUUUAGAUGAAUUAUGAGACUUGAACGGCCUCAUUCUGACUUCAAAUGAAUUUAUUAUGAAUUUUACAAGAUUAAAUCUAAUUAAAGCCCAUUUAAAAAGAAUUAAAUAAAUUUAAUUCAAUUUAUGGACAAUUUUAAUAUGUAGAUCUUUAUUUUAGAAAAAAUUUAGCAACUUGAACCACUCGAAACGGAUCUACGGUUAUUUAGAUAUGAUUUUCAGAAGAUUUAAUCUACGGGAAAAAGAAAAACCGAUGACGUCAGCAUGACGUCAUCCAUGGCCGGCCCGGGUUGGCGACCUCGCCGGAGAUUGGAUGGUCGGCUGCGACUUUGGAGGACAUGUACACGUAGAGGACGACGAGACGAACCCAACGGUACUCACCACGACGACAAACGACGAACAAUGACGGCCGGCGACGAGGAGGACGGCGGCGGCGGCUCGGUCGGCGGUGGCGGCGGAGCUCCGGUGACCGGCGACGACGGGGAGAGGGCGGCCGAGGUUCCUCACCUCCGUGCGCACCUAACGGCAGCGAGGGGAAGCGACGGCGACGGCGGAAUCGACGGCGCGACCUCGCCGAAGGUUGGCCGGCGGCGGCGGCGGGUUGGGUGGUGUGGCGGCGGCGCUACAAGGCACGAGAGACCACGGGAGAGGGGGCAAGCGAAAGAGGAGGACUAGGGGGUGCUUUAUAUAGGCUUGGAUUGAAGAGAUCGGACUCCAAACGAGAGGAAUCGAAGCCGGAAAACAAAAUCUCGGUUUUGGAGAUAAACUCGAAAACGAGUUUGAUUUGGAUAAAAUACCCAACGAUUUGCUCCGAUUCUUGGGGGAAAAGAUAGAGGAGGAUGAGAGGAUCAAAACCCCUCAAAAAUCCGGAAGAAACGGGGUCAGAUUGGGUGGGAUUUGGAGGCGGAAAGGCGAUGCGGCGCGCAGCUCGGGCUCUGUCCAGACUGCAGGCUGAAGGUUAGGGACGACACUGUAGCAGGGAGGAAAAAUAGACUUUUCCGGCUUCCUUUUUCCUUGCUUGGGCUGACUGAGAGAGAGGGAGAUCAAACAGACUUUGGAGAGAGAGAGGAGGGCGGCUCGGCUGGGCCGAUUGGGCCGGCUUGGCCGCGCGCGGGAAGAGAAGAGUUGGGCCGAAAUCGGCCCAACGACUUAGGGGAAGAUUUAAAAACUUUUUCCAAUUAAAAUAAUCACUUAAAUGAUCUUUCAAUUGUUAAAAAUACUUCCAAUGCUCAAAUAAUUCCAAGAAAAAUCCUGAAAAUACUUGGACACUAAAAGUACUUAACAAAAUUAUAAUUAGACCAUUUAAUGAUUAAUUUAAUAUUUAAAUAAUUGCUGAACUUCUCUUUGUAUGAUUAAAAAAAUUAAUAAUUGAGCUCCGAAAAAUCCGAGAAAAUUCCAGAGAGUAUAAUUAACCAUGGAGAAUUUAAUAAAAAUUAAAUCCAUCCAUGCUUUAUAUUUGGGAAAUUUUAUUUCCCACAUUUAACUUCACUUGUAAAUUAAUGAACAUUUAAUAUAAAUUCUAUUAAUAAUUUAUUAAAUAAUUUAUAAAUCCUGAAACAAAAAUCAGGAUGUGACAACCAUCGAACGAAGAUGGGUGAAUUAUUUGAGCAAUUUACAAGAUGACUGACUAAACUGCACCCACCUCAUAAGUUGUGAUACCAACGCUGCAUUUUACUCAGGGGAUUAUCAAACCCGAUUACAGUAUUUUAGGGUGCCUCUAAUACCCAUCUAUACAUAUAGAUACGCUGCUAGUAUAAGAUAAGAGGAUAGAAGAAAAGAUUUUUUUACACGCUUAGUUUCCUAAUGUGUUCGAUGUGGGUAACACCGUAACAACCUUAAUACUAUAGGAUCGCACAAGACCAAACAAACCUACCAGAGGGGGGAGUGAAUGGUAAGAAAAACCAAAAACCCAAAAUCUUUUGUGGAAUUAAAGAUUACCCUUGAACGAAGUCGAUGACGAAGUCCAGUCGCCGCCGGUCGAACCGCCUUCCUGCCACCGGUCAGACCGCCGAAGCCUCGCCGGUCAGACCGCCCGGAUACUUGCGGUCAGACCGCCGCUAUCCCACCAGUCAGACCGCGCACACACCUACGGUUAGACCGUUGGGACCCAGAAACAAUGGUAGAUGAUAAACUCGAAGAUGUAGAUUGAAACUUUUUGACUUUAUUGCAUCAACUAGUAUUUACAAAGUGCACCAAUAGCACUCCUCACCAAAAUCUCAAACUAAACUCGAAACCCUAACUCUCUAUCAACUCUAGUCUCUCUAAAACCGAUACCAGGAGGCCUCACCCUCUCUCUCUAUUUAUACAUGAGGUAGACUGUGCAAAGCCCACGAAUCUAUUACAACUUAGAACUCCUAACCCACGUAGCAAACCCUCUCUUGCAAGUAUACAACUCAUCUCUUUCCUUAUCUCAAUCAAACUUCCCGAAUUCGGACUCCUUUCCAAAUUCGACUCCUCUUUCCAUACGUACACAACCCCUCUUGUAUACCAUAUGGAUUUCUUCAUCACCACGUGCAUUGUCCUCUAACCUUUAGUAUCCCGCAUGAUCUCUUGAUCCCUGGACAUCAACUUCUCCCAAGUUGACUCCGAUCUAUUACCGGCAACACUCUGCCGAGGCCUCAAGCAACACCUACACAUGCAACAACCAAGAAACCAUAUUCCGAGCCCAAGUUCGUUCCAACUUGACUCACAUUAGUAUAACAACAGUAUCCAUACGCAUAGAAACCAUCUAGAAGCCAAAUCCCCGAAGGAAAUAUCCAAAUCCAACAAAACAAUCCGAAACCGACAUCGAUCAGGAUCCUGCGGGUCAGAUCGUUGGGCCGACCGGUCUGAUCGCCGCAACACCUGCAGUCUGACUGGCGGCACACGACCGGUCUGACCGCCAGGGUCAACCGAAACUGUACACUUCACAAAAUCAACCAUCUAUAAAAUCUCCAAAUUAACAUUAGCAAACCACCAAUAUUUUCAUCAUAAAAUCUAAAUCAACUCCUUGAUUUUACAAAUACUUGUAUAAAUUAAUCUAGGACAUAUCAUAUCAAGUAUAAGGGGUAGCAGGCUUAGCUAAUUUGGCCACCAAACUAACCUUGAUGGGCAAAGCAAUGGGUUUGCAGUCAAUGGCUAACGAAAAAGCUUCUUCCUGGUGUGAACUCAAUGUGGUGUGAUUUCGAAUUUAGGUCCUAAAUUUAUAUCAGAACAUGACCUCUCGUCAAGGUAAAACUCAAGAUCCAAAUAGGAGACCUUAUAAUCACCGUGCUGGACUACCUAGUCAUUCCUUAAGUGGAUGGGAUUUCCUGGUCCUCUCUUAGGGCAUUCACAGUGGGUUGAGUUGGCAUUCAGCCUUAUCGAUCCUCAACAAAUAUUGUGUGCCACGUUUGUGUCACGCCCGAAAAUUCACUAGUAAUUUCCGAACUUAUUUGUGCAUAAAAUCCUCGUCCAGGAAUCAGCCGAGGUACACAAACUGACAAUUUAAUAUACAGAUUCAUCAAAUUAACUAAAACGAUAAAUACUUACUUAUGAGGCACUUAGUCCUCAUCAUGAAGAAAACUGCAGCGGAAAAUAAAAUCUAGCGAAGCUCCGGCUCCACUCCCACAGGCAGCUCAACUGGGGUAUAAGCCAAACGUCUUCUCCUUCUGGAUUCUUUUUCUUCAACUGAGGUUGAUUGAUUAUUGCAAGGUGAGCAUAUGACAUACUCAGCAAGCCACACAGCAAAUAUGCAAAUGCACAAGGAUACCAAAGGAUGGCAUAAUAUUGGCUCAUUUGCAAAAGCAGCAUUUAGCAAAACAUUUAAGAGAAGUAAAACAGUGGAGUAAUUAAUCAGGAAUUUUAAUCAACACUGAACAGCACACCCAUGCUGCACAGGCCCAACCAUCCUGAACAACCAUACCCGGCUGUACAGAUCUAACUCCAAACCAGGAGCUAAGCAAAUUAUUACCAAUUAAAGCAUCUUUUACAAUGAUGAGAGGUGUGAGACUAAUCACGAAAAACAUUGCUCAACUCGCCCAUAACCGCGGGCACGGCUAUUCGAAUAGUUUUACUCUGGCCAGAGGUGUACCACUGUACCCACAAGACACAGCCUCAACAUCAUGUCUACCAUGCGUCGCGAUACUGGAAAGUACCCGAAUAGAGGCUGUGACAAUACCCUCUGCAUAACACAACUCACCACAGUGCACCAUUCCUGGAUCAUAAUCACCCCCUUAUAAAACAAGGCAUGGACUCCCCAGCGACCCCCGUGGGCUUAUUUCCGCCACUUCUCAGUCUGGUGCUCCGCAAUGAAUCAUGUUAUACAAAAGGUAAAGCCGUUGCCCACGCUGGCUUGUGGUUGGCACGGUUAAUGUUUCACAACAGUAGCUCGCGAACCGGUCCUUAAUUGUCAUGAGCACGACUCUCAAAACCAUGUGCUCACAACCCACCAUUAUCAAGUUUUAGUUGGCAAGUAAUUAAUUAACCAAUCACGAUUGACCAUCGUGAGCUACCAUUAAACCAUCAUUAAAUAAUAAUGAAUCAUAAGUUAUCCCAAUAGUGUGCUAAUGUUUCUAAGCAUGGCUAAGCAAUCACAUCUAAUAUCUAGUUGAACCAAUAUAUAUAAAGCUCAACUAGUCCAAUUAUAAUAACCCAAGGUAUCAAGGAAUAGAGUAAUCAAUGCGAAUAGGCCAUAACAAAGGAAUAGGUUCACACCACCCGGUGACAUUCGAAAAUAAAUGCACAGUUGAAAUAAAUAGAGAAUUUAAAUAUAGGAUCAACAUGCUCAAAGGAUUGUGUUUAGGAUCUGUGUGACUUGCCUUGCAAUAAUCGGUCUUCAAUUAAUCUUCUUGAAUACUUCCGGCGCACUCGCGAACCUUCGCAACGACGGAAACGACAAGCUAACACGCAAAACGAGGAAAAAGACUAAUAAAAACCAAAUAAACAAUACAUAAAAAGUAAACAAACAUGUAGAUCAUAAUUUUAGAUGAAUUAUGAGACUUGAACG